GCAGCUAGGAAUAAUGGAAUAGGACUCCGGUUCUAUGUUUGUGGGUUUCUGGAACCCGGUGUCAUGAUUAAGAGGGACGGCCGGGGGCAUUCGUAUUGCGCCGCUAGAGGUGAAAUUCUUGGACCGGCGCAAGACGGACGAAAGCGAAAGCAUUUGCCAAGAAUGUUUUCUUUAAUCAAGAACGAAAGUCAGAGGCUCGAAGACGAUCAGAUACCGUCGUAGUUCUGACCGUAAACGAUGCCAACCCGCGAUCCGGCGGCGUUAUACCCAUGACCCGCCGGGCAGCGUACGGGAAACCAAGAGUCUUUGGGUUCCGGGGGGAGUAUGGUUGCAAAGCUGAAACUUAAAGGAAUUGACGGAAGGGCACCACCAGGAGUGGAGCCUGCGGCUUAAUUUGACUCAACACGGGAAACCUCACCCGGCCCGGACACAGAAAGGAUUGACAGAUUGAUAGCUCUUUCUCGA
rnacentral:rRNA from 1 species